UGGCGGACGGGUGAGUAAUGUCUGGGAAACUGCCUGAUGGAGGGGGAUAACUACUGGAAACGGUAGCUAAUACCGCAUAACGUCGCAAGACCAAAGAGGGGGACCUUCGGGCCUCUUGCCAUCGGAUGUGCCCAGAUGGGAUUAGCUAGUAGGUGGGGUAACGGCUCACCUAGGCGACGAGCCCUAGCUGGUCUGAGAGGAUGACCAGCCACACUGGAACUGAGACACGGUCCAG
rnacentral:rRNA from 1 species